UAAUUAAAUAAAACACUGUAUCAAAUUUUUACAGCCUAUACACCUACCGAAAAGAAAUUAGAUCUACAUGGAGUGAAUAAAGUAUUACAGCUUGACAAUGGAAUUGGUAGAGACAUUAGCGGUCCUCUUGUAGACUCACUUUCUGUACUAGAUGUAAUUGAUGCAAAUAGACGAGCAGGACCUGACAGAAGAAAUUCAGCUGUCUCUGGAAUUAUAAGAAGCUCCUCAUUUCAAAGGUCUGCUAGUGUAUCAAGCAAUGAUGGUAUAAACAGAAACUGUCAUUAUGAGUGUGGAGUAGAUAAACUUUGUAAGCUAGGACAGAAAUGUGUACGCGAUGGAUGUGACAGUUAUUGUGUUCAAGUAUCAUCUGGGAGUAUUAUUGGUGAAUCUGGAUUGUCGGGGUCUAUAAGAAGUGGAACUGGAAAUACAGUUUCAGAAAUUAUUAGAGGUUCAUCAUCUGACAUUUCAAGACUGUCAAGCAUUGAUGGUUCAAAAUGCAGUUAUGGAUGUGGAGAAAAUAAACGAUGUGCAUCAGGACAUAAAUGUAUUCACGAAGGAUGCAACAGCUAUUGCGUUCAAUUAUCAUCUGGUAGUCUAAUUGGUUCAGGUCAGUCUUUAACCGGAUGUGUGGGUCUAUCUAACAAUGGUCAUUUGGAAACUAUUGGUAGCAGUGGUUCAAUGACUGGUCACACAGGUUCUGAUAUUCUUGACGCUAUCUCAGCUAGACGAAGUGGCAUUAAUGCAUUUGACACAAUUACAUCUAGACGUAGUGGAAUGGAUGCAUUGGACACAAUUUCUUCUAGACGAGUAGGAUCAGUUGGAUCAUCUGGUUCAAUUAUCGUUUCUCAGUCAGUAAAAGGAGGCCGCAGUGAAUGUAGUAAACUAUGUCAUACUGAUUCAGAUUGUCCAACAACCAAAUACUGUACCACUGUUAAAUGUCACAGGCUUUGUAGAAGAAGGCCAUCUAAAGGUUAUUCAGGAUGAAUAUAAUAAGAACUUUGAAGAAAUCCACAAUUUUUUUACCCAAAUUGUUUUUUUUUUUUAUUAUGAAAUAAAUAAAAUGUUAAAUACAAUUAGUCUUGUUGUAAAAAUGUUUAAAAUCACCCAAAACUAUAAAAUGGUUAAGACAUUGAGGCAAUUAUAAUCAUAAAAAAAUUACACCAUACAAACAGAUAUAAAAUACACGUACAUUAACAAUAGCAUAACUAAAGAUAGCCGAUUUGAAGUUUUAUGGUUCAAUUUGAUCUUUUUCAUUAAAAAAGGAAGAAUAUUCCGGACCAAAAACUUUAAAGAAACAAAUGAGGAAAGUAUAGAUAUGGCAAUUUUCAGCAAUUACCAAUAUUUAUAAAAUAAUGCUGAAAGGAAGAUGUAAUAACAAUAAAUGAGACACAUUAAAACAAUCAUUUAUGUUGGGCUUAUCCAUCGAUGACAAAGUAAUGAACAAAGUCAAAACGUCAUGAACAUGUCUUAAUCAGAAACAUAUGAUUACGUCUAGAUAGCUCUUUUGUGAUUUUUUAAUUUACCCAAGCUAAAUUGUUUUGAUAAUAAUAUUAACAAAACUUAUAAUAUAAAUAAAAAAGUACAAUUAUAUUUAAAGGAUGAGCGUGUGUUCAGGGAAUCAGUUUUAGAAAAUAUAUAAAUACGUCCGUCACCUUAAACAUUAUAAAAAUAUAUAAACUCUUUUAUACAGGAUGACUUUGAUGGAUUAUUUUUAGCCAUGGCAUUGUCAGUUUUUUUUUCGAUCUAUGAUUUUUACCGUCCCUCCAGUAUCUUUCGCUCUUCUUUUCUUGUUUCACUGGCAUUCAUAUCACAUUUUCUUAUUUAUAUUACCAUCGGAUUUGUACCACAUGUUUGUAAGAACCAGCAUACCUUUUCACAGCAACUGCAAUGACCCCUACUCGUUUUAUGUUUUGUUAUGAAGCAUACAUACUUUUUUUUUUAGGAAAAAGCGCUCACGUGACAUUUAUUUAUUUCUUUGUGCAUACAAUUGUAGGAUUCUAUACAUGCUUACAGACCUUGGAUGGUGUAAACUUCCCAAAACAACGUGUAUGGUGUAAUGGUGUAUGGCAUAUGGUGCAAUGGGGUAAGGUGUAUGGUGCUAUGGUGUAUGGUGUAAGGGGAAUGGUGUAAUGGUGUAUGAGGAAUGGUGUGAUUGUGUAACGUGCGAUCGGGAAUGGUGUGAAUGAUAGUGUACGAGCUUUCAUUGGUUGCAAACGAAGUUUUUUUUAUUUCAUUUUUUCGGAUUGUAAGCAUAAACAUAAUAAAAAUCUUAAUGAUCAAAAUUUAAUUGCAUUAUGGGUAAUUUCGGAUCGUGUAGAUAGAAUGGGGAAUGGUGUAUGGUGUAAAGUGUAAGGUGUUUGGUGCAAAGGUGUAACGUGUAUGGUGUAAUGGUACAAGGUGUAUGGUGUAAUGGGGUAUGGUGUAUGGUGUAAUGGUGUAUGGUGUUAGUGGGAAGUUUACACCAUCCAAGGACUGUAUAACGUAGAUACAUGGACAAUCUCCAAAUGGUUGAAGUAAACGCCAAAAAAAAAAAACGGCACUCACGAUAAGUGAAUAAAGGAAUAAACCUUGCGUUAGUGUAACAGGGGGUGGUCAGUAUAUAUUUGGUUAACAUGGGAGGAAAAAAUAAGGACACGAAAUAUGUGUGGUUUAUCAUAUCGCUAAUGGCAAGAUCCAUUAAGUUUUUGAGAUCAUAUUGAUUUUACUAUUAUGUAUCAUAGACCUAUUAACUAGACCCUAGGCAAUGUCUUCGAAUUUCGAUCAAUCUUGAGAGUGUAAAAAAAAGAGAGACAAAAGAUAACAAAAGAUCCAAACUCAUCAGUAAAAAAACCAACUGACAACGCCAUGGCACAAAAUAGAAAAAUCACCUUCAAACAAAAGUACAAAAAACACAACAUUGAAAACUGAAGACUGAGCAAAACUAACCUCAUCAAAAUCUUGGGUGAUCACAGGUGCUCCGAAGGGGUAAGCAAAUAAUGAACUACACGUUGAACCCACCGUGUUGUUUAUAUUAGUUCAGAUAACUUACCAAGGCAAAACCAACAGAUGCUUUAAAAAAAUAAUCCAUUAUGAAUGAACCGAUUAAUGUUGUCUCAUUUUCUGCUUAGAGGGUUUUUAUGGAAAAUGUUACUUCCAAGAAAGUAAACUUAAGAAGAUUAAAAUACCGAAUUCCAAACGAAAUUUAAAAUGGAAUGCCCCUUAUCAAAUGAAAAUAUCAUAGGGUCAAACACAUCAACCGAAAGGGAAACAACUUUCAUAUUCCCCUACAUAGAACAGGGAUUUCUUUAUGUAGAAAAUGAUGAAUUAAAGCUGGUUAGAUUGAUAGCUUAUCCUCUCUCUUGUAUAACAGACAUAAUAAGUUAAAAAAAAUUGAGUUACAUGCACAGCAGUAAAAAAUUGUGUAUUAAUCUAGCAAUGUCGGAUUAAUAUGUUAUCAAAAACGUUAUGUGCCAUGGUUUUGGUGUAAAUUUAGGACAAAAAGGGAGAUCAGUGCUUUUGAAAAAAGUGAAAUUUUAAACGUUUUAUUUUUGUGUUGAAGAACGUUGACAAUAUUUAUAGUAUCGAUUCCUUUAUAAAAAACUGAACUGGCAGGAAUUUCCUAUUAAUGUCAUAUUUCAUUGUUUCUAUUUAAGAAUUUCGGUGUGAUAUUACAGUUGGCAAUCCAUGAUUAUCUUAAUCAUGAUAGACUCUUAAAUAACACAUUUUGCAUUUUAGAGUGUAAGCAUGAAAGUGAACACAAUGCCAUGUUCAGUAAUACAUCCACUAUUUAAAAAAAAUUAUUAAACUUCACAACAGAUUUAACAAUGAAAUGCACAGUUCCCUUUUAUACAAGUGAUAUAACUGUGACAGAAAAGGUUUCAAACCAGAAGUCGCUAUAUUAUGAAAGUAUACGAGAAAAAGGUAAAAUAACAAAGCUACCGUACUUAAAGGAAAACUCAAGACAGAACGUCAACAAACAAAUGGCAAAAUCAAAUGACUCAGACACAUCAAACGAAUAAAAAAAGAUUAAUUUCCUGACUUAGUACACUGCAUUUCCUUAUGUAGAAAAUGCAGGAUUUAAGCCGGUUUUAUAGAAGAAACUAUCAUUUCAUUAAAUUGUAAAAUUUUUUUAAUAAUCUACCAAUGGCAGCUUAAGGUGGUAUGGGAGUCUAAAAUAAAAAUGAUAAAAUUUGUUCAUACUUUGCCAAAACGUUGUAUCUAUUGAUAAUGUUGAAAAAUAUAAUAAAAAUGAUAGGUCACAUUUUCUCAAGCUGGACGGGACAAAAUGACACAUUUUGUAUGGAUUAUACAGGAAAAAAAACACCAUUUUUGAUUAGCAAACAAAAUGAUAGAAUUGUUAAAUACUUCAGGAAAAGAUAGCUUUCAGACACUGCUUUGAGAAUAUCAAAAGAAAAGAUAGGGUCACCGUACGUUUUUUCCGGCUAAAAUACAAGAUAGGAAAAUUCCAUACAGAAUCCUUCAGAAAAUGCACUUUUUUAGAGUUACCUCCCCUUAAAAUGCCAAUUUAAAAAAAAAAAUAAAAACAACCAAAAAUAAUUAACAUUUGCAAAAAUAUCAAUAUUUAGAAGUUAUAUUCUUAUAAAUUGGUUCUUUUAAAUGAAAAUGUACAUUAAACAUCUGCAUUCCUGCAUCAAAUUUUGCUAACUUGAUGGAAAAUGGACCUUUGAUUCUCUGUUUUUUACAAUCCAAGAUGGAGGAAGACACCCAUACCACCUUAAUUAUGUAAUUUAACUUUAUGUGUUAUUGUUAUGUUUAAAUUUAGGUUAUAAAUGAAUUUAUGACUGAAUAGGUGAAAAAUGUGGUUACAGUUGUCGGCUUUAGAAAUAUAAAAAAAAAUCGGACAUCUCUGCAAUAACAAGAAUGUUAUUCUAAAAAUGUGUAUAAAAGGUCCGUUUGAUUUCAGAAGUAUUUAAACAAUAAGUACGUGGAAGGUACUGUGAACAAAAUCUUAGUUUUGGAGAUAAUAGUAGUUAUAAUCUACUAUAAAUAUCAGGAACCUUUAGUCAUUGCUUUAUCCAUCCAUUUUUUUGUCUCUUUGUCAUGAACCAUUUGUUUCCGGAUUCAAAUAUAAGAAGACUUUUGUAUUUGAACGAAACGAAAAAAACGAAAAACGACAAAAAGUUCACUUUCACCAAAAAAGUUCAAAUUGUGAUUUAUGAUCGUCAUUUUUUAUUUGUUUUUGGUUUAUGAUAAACCCUGUCUUGUUUAAGACAUGUUGAGGAGAACUACACCUACUGUAUUUAUUUUAUGUAACAAGUUAAAAAGUCAAGGUCCAAACUGUUUCCACAAGAAACUUUAAUGACAAAUAAUUGCAAAUUGUUGUUGAUAUGUGAUGUUUUGAGGAAUUUAGUUAAAGUAAUACAAGUGGUCCGACACCACAAUUAUCGAAUGUAGUCCCUAGUGCGGACAGUGUGUUACUUCCCAUUUUUUUAAUACCCCUUCCAAAUGUAUUUCUCCAUGUUUUAUGCCUCUAAUAGUCAGUCAAGGGAUGAAAUGACACUGUCAAAUAAUUUUGGUAAUGAAUUUUAAAGUAAAGUAGUGAUUUGGUCCAGUUGUAAAAGGUUAAAAAUUAGCACUUCGGAAGCUGUCAAAAAAGAUAUCAAGACCCCUUAACAUAAAAUUGUCCAUAUUUGAGUUAGAGCCGAUGAAGUUUUCUAUAAUUUUGAUAUUAUUUGUCCCAAAAGUAGUACAAUACACUGUUAAACUUUUAUUGAGAAAGCGCAGGUGGGAUUUUUUUGAUUUGCAUUUAUUGUCUAAAAGAAAUGCACUACGAAAUAAUUGUGGUCUCGGACCAAGUGGGUAGUGGGUAGUUAAGGUCAUAAAAAAAUUGAGAAUAAAAAUGCUUAGUAUAGCUGAAAACAUUAUAACAUGUCUGGUUUCAAAUGAAUAUCUUGAAUAAAUAUUUCCUUUUCAUAGAAGUUUGUACUGUAAAUGUGCUUCCUGACCUAAUCAUUUGGUUAUAGAUGAUGAUUACUUCCGUCAAAAAAGUCCUGAAAGAUUUCUGCUAUAAACGCCUAAAACGAAGCAGUAUAUAAUAUGACAACUAUAAUAAGAUUUAAUAAGAAUCGUCAAUUUAAAACAAAAUUUGUCUCAUGUCUGAAAGAUAAGCCAUAGUUAGGUUGAUGAAAUAUCUUAUAAUUAGUUGUUGAGCAAUGCUGUUGCCCAUUUGACUCUAAAGUUGCCGAAAGCUAAGACCAGGGACAGACAAAUUAAAAAAAUAUAGACCCGUCAGAGAUUUUGGUUAUACUUGUGGUUUCUACACAACUGAUAUUUUGUACUCGCAGCAGAAUAUAUAAAUAUAUUUAGUCAAAAGUUGAUAGUCAAUACGAUUUGUUACACAUGGACAUGAUGGACACAGAUGAAAGAUCAGCAAAAGUAGUUCGUAUUUUAUUUUCCCUCCAAGUGUACAAGCAUUCUGAAUCCUUUGAAUAAAAUAGCUUGUUCUCUUUAUAAUGUGACGUUUGGGUAUGAUCAGAUUUUCGUGCAAGCUUUCCACCUUAUCAUUAAUUGAAUUUCGCCUCUGUUAUAGCUACAAGAUAUUUUAGACCAUUACUUCUAGUAUUUUUUUGUAAAGUUUAAGUGCUUGAUUAUGAUCUAACUACUCAUGUGCUUUCCGUCUGUCAAUCUCUCAACUAACGCCGCAUUCGUAUGUACAUUGUUUAUAGCUCACUCAUUGAUAACUUCGAAAAUUGUAUUCUGUAAAAAUACAAACAUUAUCAUCAUAAAUUGUUUAACUUAUUUGUUGUUUUUACAUGUUUUGUAAGAAAAUUGACCUCUUUCUUCUUUCGACAGCAUGAUGAGUACCGUAGCAUUUAUGUUUGGCAUUAUGUGGAUACAUAAAAAGAGCAGAUAAAACAAAAGAGCAACUUGGUUGAAAACAUAAUAUGCAAUACGUAAAGCAAACAUUUUAUCGCUGAUCAGACGAAACACGUAACAGUCAUACUUAAUCAUAAACUUGACAAAAGUAGCUAAAGUACCACGCAGCCUGGAAUGCCAAAUCAGUACCAAACGUAUAUAUUUUUUCACCUGAUAUCUAAGGACUAAAAGGAUAUUUAGUUUUUAAAAAAGUGUAAAAACAAAAUAUAAUGAUAACGUAGAAAUUUCAAAUGUUUAAGUUUGGGUUUUAUUGUAGGUUAGCUCACUUUGCUCUAGCAACAUUCAGUUCGAAAAUUAAAUGUUUUAAUUGUCUCAGUGCAAUUGAAAUAUAAAGUGAAAGGGUCUAUAGCAUAUGCCAAGCUGUAACAACGAGUCCCUCCUUUUGUAAAAAGUAAAACCACAAAAAUACUUAACUCCCAGGAAAAUUCAAAACGGAAGGUCCCUAAUCAAAAGGCAAAAUCAAAAGCUUAAUCACAUCAAAUAGUUAUCAAAGAUACCAGGAUUAUAAUUUAGUACGCCAUACGCGCAUUUCGUCUAUAUAAGACUCAUCAGUGACGCUCAUAUCAAAAUAUUUAUAAAGCCAAACAAGUACAAAGUUGAAGAGCAUUUAGGAUCCAAAAUUCCAAAAGUUUGUGCCAAAUACGACUAAGGUAAUCUAUGCCUGGGAUAAAAAAAUCCUAAGUUUUUCGAAAAACAAAUGGAUAACAGCUGUUAUAUUCCUGACUUGGUACAGGCAUGUACAUUACGUUCUUUGACAAUCAAUAGAAUCCUUUUUUUUUAAUUACUUCAACAUUUUAUGAACAUAACAUUUAUCGAAAAUGAACGUCUCAGUUGUUGUUCAUGUCACCCAAAAAGUGUCCUACUUGCAUGUUGAUACUCUCACAGACGAACAUUCAUCAACACGUUGGUCGUGAAAAAACUAAGCGAUUGGGUGUUUUGAUUUGUGAGCAUUUUUCAUACUAACACUUAAUUGAAAAAUAUAGGUUAUAUGGUAUAUAUUCAUGACACAAAAUCAGUGCAUGUAGUUCAUAUUGGUCAAUUGUUGGAAAAUCCUAAAAAAACAAAUAUCAUUACCUUUUAAAGCUAUCUAUUAACAUAUUUUAUAUGCAUACAUUUAUCUCAAUAAAAAUACAGGUACUGUUCGUUACGUAUUAUUUGAGGAAAUAGAAACAGUAUUGUUUGUUUAUUAAAACUGUACAAGUCGCUGACUACCUCUUCAUUUAUAAUAUGUGUAUUUAUGUAAAUUAUAAAUACAUCAAAACAUAAUUUUGAAGUACAUGUAUCUACUAUGACGUAACUAAAAACCGUGUGUGCAACAAGAGGAAAUAUAAUGUGCAUUUGAACCCAUAAAGUACAUAAAGUUUUUUUUCAAUUUGCAUACUGUGCAGUUUUAUUUUAUAAAAUUUGGUUUGACAUUUAAAUCAAAACAAAAAUUACAAAAUUACAGAAUUCAUCAUUUGCGGUUUAAUAAUAUAUUUCCUUGUUUAUAUGCAAGUAAAAAAGUCAUUGAGAUGGUAUAAAAGAACAGUUCUGAAAUAGGAAACAUUAUUCAUUUAUUCCAAAAACUGAUAACUACUACAAAAUAAGGUAAGAUUUCUAAAGUGUAAGUGCUAAGAUAAUUAUCAUUUAUAAUUUGUUCACCUGUUUCUUUUCAAUUUAACAUUACUUUAAUUUCAAUAGACAACUUGCCUCUUCAUUAUUUUAAAAACUAAAUAGAAAUUGAGAAAAUCUAUUGAAAUCAAUUAAAUAUGCAAGGCUUAUAAAUAGGUACGUAGUAAUUGUUUGGUAACGUGAUGACAUUUAUAAUACACCAUAAAUAUAAACAUUUCAAAAGGAUACAAUUUUGAAAAUCAAAAAAAAUGAUGAAAUUAGCAAGAUCAUUGAAUUCUAGAAAAAAACACCUUUUCUUUAAUAUAUUUUGUGUUUAAAAAGAAAUAUCAUGAAAUAUCAUACAGAUCAGUUUAAAUUGUUUAUGAAAUUGAAUAAGACAUUACAUGUACGUAUUUUUGAAGUCAGUUUGUUUGAAUACCUAACUACGGCUGAACAUGUAUUAUGUUAAAAAAAAAGUGUUUUUUUAUUGAAUAUGUAUAUCCCUGAACUAAAUGUUGUACUUAAAAGUAUGAAGUUAAAGUUUUUUUCUUUUUAAAUGAAUUUUUGAGAAUACCGGAAAAUGAUUGUGAUAUUGAAGAAAAUUCAUAUCUAUCAGUACUAUGUCAGAUUUUAAACAGGUGAAUGCAAUGCAUUGCCAAUCUUUUUAGUUUAAGGGCAUACGAUACAGUUUUGAUCCUGUAUUUACAAGUUCAUGAAAAUUUGCAUAUAGGCUAUUUUUUACCUGAUUAAAUCAAUAUGUAAUAAAAAAUAUACCUUAAUGUGCUACUUUUUGAGUAAAAUGAGGUCGAAAUUUUGUAUAUUUGCUCAAAAUUCAGAUUUUUGGCCGUAAUUUCUUUUUCGAAAGAAAGACAUAACUUUUUUGUUAUAAAAGAUAAACACAAAUUGUUUUUUGUUAAACAAUCGUUAAUUUCUGUAUUUUAUAAGUAUCCUAAAAAAAUAUGCAUUUUUUAAUUCAGAAAUAACUCAUAUUUAUCAAAUGUUCAUGAAUUGAGGAAAAGACGUCAUAUUUUGCUGCAUGUUUAUCAAAAUUAAAAAAAAUCCUCUAUUUACAGUUUUAUAAAAUUUGGGUCACAUAAUCUCCCUGCAAAAUGAAACAAAUUGCCGUUUUGAAAAAUAGGGGUCCAUAAACUCGUUUUCAAAUUAAAUCAGCUUGAAUGAUAAAAAUCAGUCGAAAAAUGCAUCUUUUCCCGAUAUGUCACAGUUUGACGUCGCGAAAAUAACAUUUUACGUUAGCACGUCAUUACCUCCCCUGUAACUGUAUCGUAUGCCCUUAAACUUGUAUUUGCAUUUGUUAUUGAAUGGAUCACUUUCUAUUAUUUGAGUUUGAAAAAUAAUUCCAUUACAUAUAUUUUACAAAUUUAAACUUCAUAUUUUACUACAUAAAUGAGAAUUGCUGUCUACAAUAAGUUUGGUCAAUCGGAUCUAUUAAUUUCUAAGUAAAAUUCUAAAACAUCUGAAGUAAAAUGCUUGCAGGUCUAAAUUAUAACCCGCAACUUUUUUUAUUACAUAAUUUCUACAUAUUUUUAUACAGAUGUUUAAAACAUGCUAUCUUCCUAUAUCUAUUAUGUUGUAUAUUUCAGACAAUUGAAAAUGAUGAGAUUUGAAACUAUGUCAUUGUCAAUGUUGUUGACUAUAAUGUCAGUAGCUGGUAAGCAUUUUGUUAUUUUCACCUUUUCUAUUAUUUUCUUUUAUUGUGCUUUCAAACAGUUUUGAUACCAGCAUUAUGGAUGCAUAUUAUGUAAACGACAUCUGGCGUACACAAUUAUCUUAAGUCUGGUACCUUUGAUGAGCUUUGUUUUUACACAAAUAUGUCUGACGCAGUUAAGAUACAAUUCCACAAAGAUACCACACUUUUAAUUCUGUAAACAAGACCCGCAUAUCGUCUAAAAAAGACCCAGCCGAAAAGCUCAAAUCUAAGUGCUAAAAUCAAGUUUGAAUUUGAGGUCAACAGAUGUUCGAAGUUUUUUAAUGUAAGUUUGGCAGUUAAUUUAUGAAUAUGACCAUAUCGAUGUCAACCUAACUUAUCAUUGAUAAACCUGUAUAUACAUUAUAAUGAAAAUAACACAGUAUCAAGAUGAUAGUUUUGCUAUAUUCGCAUUAAACAGGCACGCAUUAAAACGAUUUUAAAACAGCUAUUACUUCUGUCACAAAGCUCGUACAUUUUUUACAGCCUAUACACCUACAGAAAAGAAAUUAGGUCUACAUGGAGUAAACAAGGUAUUACAGCUUGAGAAUGGAGUUGGUAGAGACAUUGGAGGUCACCGAGGAGAGUCACUUACUGUGUUGGAUGUAAUUGAUGCAAACAGACGAGCAGGAUCUGACAGAAGAAGUUCAGCUGUCUCUGAAAUUAUAAGAAGCUCUUCAUUUCAGAAUUCUGCUGGUAUAGCAAGCAAUGAUGGUUUAAACAAAAACUGUCAUUACGAGUGUGGAGUAGAUAAAUUCUGUAACCUAGGACAGAAAUGUGUACGCGAUGGAUGUGACAGUUAUUGUGUCCAAGUUUCAUCUGGAAGUGUCAUUGGUGAAUCUGGAUUGUCGGGGUCUAUAAGAAGUGGAAAUGGAAAUACAGUUUCAGAAAUUAUUAGAGGUUCAUCAUCUGACAUUUCAAGACUGUCAAGCAUUGAUGGUUCAAAAUGCAGUUAUGGAUGUGGAGAAAAUAAACUAUGUGCAUCAGGACAUAAAUGUAUCCUCGAAGGAUGCAACAGCUAUUGCGUUCAAUUAUCAUCUAGUAGCCUAAUUGGUUCAGGUCAGUCUUUAACCGGACGUUUGGGUCUAUCUAACAAUGGUCAUUUGGAAACUAUUGGUAGCAGUGGUUCAAUGUCUGGUCACACAGGUUCUGAUAUUCUUGACGCUAUCUCAGCUAGACGAAGUGGCAUUAAUGCAUUGGACACAAUUACAUCUAGACGUAGUGGCACGGAUGCAUUGGACACAAUUUCUUCUAGACGAGUAGGAUCAGUUGGAUCAUCUGGUUCAAUUAUCGUUUCUCAGUCAGUAAAAGGAGGCCGCAGUGAAUGUAGUAAACUAUGUCAUACUGAUUCAGAUUGUGCACCAAGCAAAUACUGUACCACUGUUAAAUGCCACAGGCUUUGUAGAAGAAGGCCAUCUAAAGGUAAUUCAGGAUGAAUAUAAUAAGAACUUUGAAGAAAUCCACAAUUUUUUUACCC
rnacentral:lncRNA from 1 species